rnacentral:snoRNA from 1 species
AGGAUGAUGACCCCAGGUGAUUCUGAGUGACUUUGCUGACGCAUCACCGCAGCGCGCUGACG